rnacentral:lncRNA from 1 species
CUACUUCAAAGCCUUUGAACCAUCCAUUCCAGCUAAUCUGUUUCUUGAUGGUUUGAAAUUCUUGUAGUAGCCGGUCCCUCGCUAUUACAAGCUAUUAUCUGGGCUCAGACCCUUAGUUUCAUGUAAUAGAGAUGCUGUUCUUUCCUUCUCUUUGUAUUUAAAUAAUUGCUAUUACAAGCUAUUAUCUGGGUUCAGACCCUCAGUUUCAUGUAAUAGAGAUGCUGUUCUUGCCUUCUCUUUUUAUUUAAAUAAUUGCUGAAAAAGCCGGUUGUCAUAGCAUACUGGAAAUAUAUAUAU